rnacentral:tRNA from 2 species
GGGCCCGUCGUAUAGUGGCAAUACGUAGCAUUCGCAUUGCUAAAACGCGGUUUCGAUUACCGCCGGGUCCACAA